GACUAAGGUUCGAUUCGAGCGAAAGCGAGAAAGCGUUGCCAACGGCAACGACCCGAAGGGCGAAGCGCGCAGCGCUGAGUAAUCCUUCCCCCACCACCA
rnacentral:sRNA from 1 species